UACCAGCACCCCGAGUGGUCGGGACGUUUAUUGGGCCUAAAGCAUCCGUAGCCGGUUCUACGAGUCUUCCGUUAAAUCCAACUGCUUAACAGGUGGGCUGCGGAAGAUACUAUAGAGCUAGGAGGCGGGAGAGGCAAGCGGUACUCGAUGGGUAGGGGUAAAAUCCAUAGAUAUAUAGAUGAACAUCAAUAAAAGGCGAAGGCAGUUAACUAUUCUGUUACUGACACUGAGGCACGAAAGCGUGGGGAGCAAAACGG
rnacentral:rRNA from 1 species